rnacentral:sRNA from 1 species
GAUAUUUUCUUCCUUGAGUUUCUGUAAGCACAUUAGGGUCGCCGCGCCUUCUCUCCAGCACCAGGAUCUAGGGUUUUUUCCGAGCACCGCCAAGGAAAUGGCUCCCGCCGCCCCCAAGAGUGGGAUCUUCGUCGGCCUCAACAAGGGCCACAUCGUCACCAAGCGUGAAUUGCCUCCUCGCCCAUCUGACCGCAAGGGGAAAACUAGCAAGAGGGUGCACUUUGUGAGGAAUUUGAUCAGGGAAGUUGCGGGGUUUGCUCCCUAUGAGAAGAGGAUUACCGAGCUUUUGAAGGUCGGGAAGGACAAGCGUGCUCUUAAGGUGGCCAAGCGAAAGUUGGGUACCCACAAGAGGGCCAAGAAGAAGAGAGAGGAGAUGUCCAACGUUCUCCGCAAGAUGAGGUCUGGUGGUGAUAAGAAGUGAGCACUUGAAGGGUUGUCUUUAUGAAUGUAGUUCAGUAUCUCUAAUAGUUUUGGACAUGCAUUUUAUUAAGGGAUUUUUUAGACAUGGUAUGAACUUUGUAAUUUUGAAUGUUUUGAGACGUUCGAUAUUUUCUGUGCAUCGGAUAUUUACCCUUCAGUUCUCAAGGUAUGUCAUUCAAGUUUGUGAUUGACUUAGAUUUACUAAUGGUUGACGUGGUAUAUUAUGGAUGAA